rnacentral:lncRNA from 10 species
UCUUAGUCUAGUUGAAAUAAGUAGACAAACUUGCAGUACUUAUCACAUCAUAAUGUUCAUUUGAAAUACUACAGCAUCACUGGAGAGGGAGUUAACUAACUCUCUGAGAAGCUUUCCCAGAGAAAAUAGAGCUGAGUUUUGAGGAUAGCGUAGGACAUUACAGGAUAGAAUAAAAUAGGACAGGACAGGGUAGGAUAAGAUAGGACAAGAUAGGUCAAGAUAGGCCAAGACAGGACAAGACAGAACAGUAUAGGACAGGACAGAAUAGGAUAGGAUAGCAUAGCAGAGAAGUGAAAAAAGGGCAUUUUAGCCAGAGAAAGGCUCAUGCAAAGGCCCGCAUGGGACAUGCCAUCUUCAGUUUGUUGUGGCUAGAAUGAAGACUAGAGGGAGAGAGAGGAAGAGGAGUGAGAAAUUAUCUCAGAUAAGUGAGAGAGCUGCCUUCUGAAUCCUUACUUGAUCCUCA